rnacentral:tRNA from 1 species
AAUUAAUGAGUUUGAAUAAACGUAUGUUUUGAAAACAUAAUAUAAAAGUUUUAACCUUUUAUUAAUUU